rnacentral:rRNA from 1 species
GCAUAAUAAUUUGCCUUUUAAAUGGAGGCUAGAAUGAACGGAUCAACGAAAUUCAACCGUUAUUAAUCUUAUAUUCUAUAACCUAAACUUCAGGUGCAGAUGCCUGAAUAUAAAUGAAAGACAAGAAGACCCUAUAGAGUUUUAGCUCAACCUCCCCCACUAACCUUAGUAGCUUUGAUUGGGGCGAUCAAGGAAACCACCUCACAUCCUUAUUUAACAACGAAAUUAUUUCUCCGCGACUACCCUACCCCUUAGAAUCUAAACCAAACUACCUUAGGGAUAACAGGCUUAUCUUCCUAGCGAGUUCAAAUUAAAAGGAAGGUUUGGCACCUCGAUGUUGGCUUAGAGUAACCGGAUAAAGCAAAAAUUAUCCUCGGUUAGUUUGUUCAACUAUUAAACCUCU